rnacentral:rRNA from 1 species
CCUACGGGAGGCAGCAGUGGGGAAUAUUGCACAAUGGGCGAAAGCCUGAUGCAGCCAUGCCGCGUGUAUGAAGAAGGCCUUCGGGUUGUAAAGUACUUUCAGUUGUGAGGAAGGGGGUGUCGUUAAUAGCGGCAUCUCUUGACGUUAGCAACAGAAGAAGCACCGGCUAACUCCGUGCCAGCAGCCGCGGUAA